rfam:Rattus norvegicus chromosome 7, whole genome shotgun sequence.
UAGCUCAGUGGUAGAGCACUUGCCUAGCAAGCACAAGGCCCUGGGUUCGGUCCCCAG